AUUGAACGCUGGCGGCAGGCCUAACACAUGCAAGUCGAGCGAGCGGCGGACGGGUGAGGACUGGAUGGGGACUGCCCGAUAGAGGGGGCUAACUACUGGGAACGGUAGCUAAUACCGCAUACUAUCGGAUAACCCAUAUGGGAUUAGCUAGUAGGUGAGGGAAUGGCUCACCUAGGCGACGAUCCCUAGCUGGUCUGAGAGGAUGAUCAGUCACACUGGGACUGAGACACGGUCCAGACUCCUACGGAGGCAGCAGUGGGGAAGAUUGCACAAUGGGCGCAAGCCUGAUGCAGCCAUGCCGCGUGUAUGAAGAAGGCCCUAGGGUUGUAAAGUACUUUCAGUCGGGAGGCGUUACCGACAGAAGAAGCACCGGCUAACUCCGUGCCAGCAGCCGCGGUAAUAC
rnacentral:rRNA from 1 species